rnacentral:lncRNA from 8 species
UUGACCCCGCAAAGGAUGCUUUGAGGUUUGAGGAUGAGGUGUCUGGAAUUCCCUCUGAAGAUUGUUUGACUUUUCCCCUGGAUGUGGAGUGGAAACACCAUUUCCUGGGCAAAUGGAAACACCGAUUCCUGUACUCCUCCGCCUGCCCAGUAAAUGUAUUAUGAAGAGAUUUGAUGUGUAAAAUGAAUGUAUCUGUUGCCUGUACUGAAGAAGGACUGUCAUUGGGAUCGAGAGAAAAUGGAAUCUUCCCAUGCCUGAUUAACUGUUACUAUGCAUGACACCUGAAUGAUCACCAUGUUGAGGGUCAGCUGAGAGAGCAAUUGCUCUCUUCCCCGUUGCAUGGUAACUGGGAAGUGUCUGAAUACCUACGUUGUACUGCUGCUGUUCCCUCAUGCGAAGAGGACCCUCAAAACAAAAAGAGAAAGUCGAGAUAACCUAAAAUGGAUACACUGCUAGGAAUAAUGGAGAUACCGAAUAUCUCAGAUGGUUUAAGGACAUGGCCAUACGCCUCAUUGUUAAUUGAUGUGGAAAUGGGAUCAUACGUGUGGAAAUGGGAUCAGUGGAACGGUUAGUUAGUGUAGCAGAGGCGGGGACUGAGAGCAUUGGUAAGAUAGUUUCACCGAGGAAACAACACCCGUGCCAGUUAUUUGGAAUUACCAGAUAACUUCUACCGCCGCAAAUCCACAUAAACCCCAAGGGUGAUCCCAUGACAUCAUUUAGAGCAAGAUAGGUCACUCUAGUAAUUAAAUAUGAGACAUCCAUUAAAUGCCACCCAUAGGGUGUACUAAAAUUUUGCCUGCGCUCUUCUUCUUUAGCGAGGUAGCCUGCAUAAGAUCUACAAUGGACUGUUACACCCACAGCCAAAGAGCCAUUGUUACAGAUACAUAAUGGUGGAACACGUUCUUCCUUCAGAUUCUCUAAAAUUGGUUCAGCCACAGUGGUCCCCAGGUUUUCACUCCAACCAUACAUCGUUGGGUUGUGUCUGGCUCCAUCAUCUCCUGUGGGCUGAACACCUUCUGGCAGUGGGACAGGUGGUGCCAGCCGGACCUUUCCUGAACUCUGACCGCCGUUGGUGUUGCCAUGGUUACCUUAAUGGCCCCAUCCAUCUUGGCUGGUUCCAUUUUCUCCUGUGGACCCGGAUUUUGACCCAGUCUCCAAUCUCCACAGGCGUCUGCUUACCUUAUAAUUUGAUGAGCUGCACAUUGGGACGAAGAUCAUCCAGACGCAGUGGUCACUCACUCCUGGCAAGCUUGCCAAAUGUUGGGUGGUCCUUUUUGCAUGGGGUGAUGUAAGUUUCCUUCAAUAAUCAGUCUUCCAGAUAGAUGACACAGACACAGGAACCUUGGUAUAGCCUGAGAACCAAAGCAGUACAUCUCCAUUACCCAGUACUUUUCCAUCAUUGCGCAUUGCAAGCAUACAAGGGUUAUCACAUAUAUACAGUAAUCAUGGCAUUGGUGUAGCCACACACCCGACCCCCAGGGUAACCCCCAACAAAAUGACAAAUGCCCCUUUUGCCCUGAACAGGUUGUCCCUGCAAGGAAUGGAGGAAGACACUGACACAAUACUCAACCGUGUUCUCAAGACUCUUUCCUCAAGUGAAGGCGUCUUUGCCGAACUUGGCAGUUGGAGCUGAACACUGUUUGAGCCCAGGUGAUUUUGUGGUGGUCAAAGACUUCAGGAGAAAGAGUUGGCAGGACCCCCAUUGAAGAGGGCCGUACGAAGUUCUUCUGACCACCCCCACUGCGGUAAAGGUUGCUGAGAGAGAUACCUGAAUCCACUGCAGACGAGUUCCUGAUCCAGGAGAAGGUGGGACUUUGCCAGUUCCGGUGGUGCAGUGUGGCCCUCCUCUGCAUUACUACAGGAGUGUUAAUAAGAACAGUAGGU